UGGGGAAUAUUGGACAAUGGGGGCAACCCUGAUCCAGCGAUGCCGCGUGGGUGAAGAAGGCCUUCGGGUUGUAAAGCCCUUUAGGUUGGGAAGAAGGGUCAUUGCGGAUAAUGCAGUGGCUUUGACGGUACCGACAGAAUAAGCACCGGCAAACUCUGUGCCAGCAGCCGCGGUAAUACAGAGGGUGCGAGCGUUAAUCGGAGUUACUGGGCGUAAAGGGCGCGUAGGCGGUGAGAUGUGUGUGAUGUGAAAGCCCCGGGCUUAACCUGGGAAGUGCAUCGCAAACUAUCUGACUGGAGUAUAAGAGAGGGUGGCGGAAUUUCCGGUGUAGCGGUGAAAUGCGUAGAGAUCGGAAGGAACGUCAAUGGCGAAGGCAGCCACCUGGCUUAAUACUGACGCUGAGGCGCGAAAGCGUGGGGAGCGAACAG
rnacentral:rRNA from 1 species